UCGGGAUAGUAGGAUUUGAACCUACGACAUCUUGCUCCCAAAGCAAGCGCUCUACCAAGCUGAGCUAUAUCCCG
rnacentral:tRNA from 1 species